ACUGUUUUGGUGUCCGGGGGCACGCUGGGGGGGCAGGGAUUCCGACCCGCAUGUAUUUGCAUAUAUUAUAAUGCUGACCAAUGACUGGAGAAAACACUGACGACGCGGCUGCGGUCACGGACAAACUUGCAUAUGUCUGUUCGGGAAUGGCAGAUGCUGAGAGGUCCAGCGUUUACAUUACCAACUAUUUCAAAGUGACAGCCUGAGGUGUUCUUCAGUAAAUUGGACUACCGGACAGGAGGACCUGAGGCCCCACCGUAUUAUUUUUGGAUGCAGCAGCAGAUUGAACCUCGACUGAAACCUGCUCCAUCAUCUCAUCUUUGCAGAUGUCCAUUUAUAAAGCAUCAACAACUCAAAGGAGCCGUCCUCAGAUUCAGACCACAGCACCACCCAGUGACAGCAGACAGAUCAUCCAAC